CUCUCAAAGGAGGAGCGGCCCCUUCAAAAACGAGCUGUGUGCUUGGGCUGUGCCCCCACCACUGGGGCCAGCCCCACGCUGGUGCCCCUGCCCUGGUGGGGCCCAGCUAGCUCAGCACGGCUGUCAGAUGAGUGGUCACCCGCGCACCUCCUUCCCUCCCCUUCACAGCUGAAGGCAGAGUCCUGUGAGCACCGCGGAGGAGCCAGAGCAGGGGCUGGAGAUCAAAGGACAGCAUCUCAGUGAAGACUGUGAGCCUGGAGACAGCUGCAGUGCAGCACUGCGUGUAUUUGACAAGCUGAGUUUGACACUCAGUUUGGCAGAGUGUCAGUUUGUCAAAUACCCCAAGUGAGGCACUUGCUGAGCAACACAGCUGCACACCGAGGGAACCGACUCCUUCCUUGACUUGGGCAGGAGCCUUUGCAUCUGCAUUCUGAUCCUCUCCGUAAAUGUGACGAGGUAUUGAGCAAACUUGCUGAAUGCCUGUCUGAUGCCAUGCUGUCAGGUUUCCUUUACACCCCAAUUUCAGAAGUGCCUGUUGGGGUGUAAUCCUAAUGGCAAACUGUUGCAGAAGUGAUGCUGGUACCAUUCCUCUGUGUUGGGAAAACAGCCAAGGACAACACUGUUCUGUGUCACAGCACUGGCUAGCAAGCUAUUAAUAAAUUUCCUGUUCAGUUAAUAAAGGUUCUGGCAACUAUAAUCAUACCAAUGUGGGUAAUGGAAACAUUAGCCUUAAUAGCAUUUUUGGUAGAUUUUUUUUUUUGAUGUGUAGGAAUCUUUUUUUUUUUUUUUUAAUUGAAGCUGGAGUACAAAUUAAUGAGGUUUCUGUUUAACUUCCCCCUAUUCUGUUAGCCAGUGUGAAGUGCUUGUUUGUUCCAGCUCUUUUUAAAUAAGUCUAUGGAGUCCAUUGCUUUUUCUUGGAACCUUGUUGUUCGGAGAAGACUCCUUGUUUUUGUCUGAUUAUUCCUAGUCAGCACUUGCAACAAGGUUGCCUAUUGUAGUUUUUGCUAUAUUUCUGCCAUUUUAUGAAAAUAAUUCCCUCUAAAUCAUCUACUUGAAGAUCUAAUGAUCGGUCAACAUUUUUAAUAACUGAUGUGAUGUAUCAGAUAUAUAGCUGGAGAUAUUUCUUGGGGUGGGGGUAACAGAGGGUGAGUGCCUAACCCAGUAUGACAAACCACACUCCCUGAAAGCAUUUAAAUUAAAAAAUUCAGAAAUUGAGAGAAAUUCCCAACACUUCACUGACUCUUUUUUUAGGACAAUACCACCAGUAAAUUUCGCAACAUUGAUAAACUUUAAUACUAAGACACUUUUUUUUUUGUUGCUGUUGCAACUAUUUCUUGCUAAAUAUUUUCUAGAAGUUGGAGUUUGUACAAUGUUGGGACCAACGAAUAUAUGGCAUUGCCUAAGCAAAUUAUGUUCUGCUUUCUGAAUAAGUCCUAUCAGUAGGGCUUAUUGUAUGCUUCUGGACAAACACAGUCCUAGUCACUGUGACUCACACUCCCGUGGUCUCUCUCUUGCACCUACGCAUGACUCAUGGACAUCACCCUGAUCUCUAUCACUGAGGUCAGCUUCAGAAGAGAACAAAGUCUAUUAUUUCAGGGUUUGUUUUGUCUCCCUGUGGAUCCUUAAUGCAGCAGGCAGAUAUAUCAAUCCCAACCCUUUCUGCCUUCACAGACCUCAAGGUUUCAACAGGCCUGUCUUCUGCACAGCAGCUAGCUGAGCAUUCCUUUUAAGCUCUUCACUGUUGUUUCCUCAUUUAUGGUUUUACUUUCAGAAAAGUUUGCCCCUGUUUUUUAGGGGAAGAAAGUUAACCCCUUCCUCUUCUACAGGAAAUACCAAAUUACAGUGGUACGAAUUCCUUUAUUGGAUACUUCCUCUCUUUUCUCCCUGUUUAGAAUGGCAGGUACAGAAGGGCUCUGAAGUCCAAGGCAAACUUGGCAGUUUAGAAGCCAACGUCCCCACAGUUGUACAAGCCCUGCAACUGCGCUCUGCUUUGCAGUAGAGCUGCAAGUCUCAUGACAAUGUGCUAGCCACUAGAAAUAGUGUGUUUUUUUUUUUCUGGAGACUCGGUAGUUUCAGAGAGGAAGCUGAGGUUUCCUUUCUGUGCUGGUGCGGAGCUGGCCUUUAGUGGAUGAGUCAUGUCACCGGGUAAGUGACCAGUGCAAGGAAGGGAGAAGUUCUUUUGUUUGAUGGAGGUACACAACAGCAAAGCCCUUUUCAGCUUUCAGAAGAAAAAUGUUGUUUCCAACAGUUUUUACUGCCAAACAUGCCAAAGAUUUAAAUAAAAUACAACCACACUCACUGCAUAGAGAAAAACAACAA